AGCUAAUAGAUACCCGGGUAGUCCACGCCCUAAACGAUGUCUACUAGUUGUUGGUGGAGUAAAAUCCAUGAGUAAACGCAGCUAAACGCGUGAAGUAGACCGCCUGGGGAGUACGGUCGCAAGAUUAAAAACUCAAAGGAAUUGACGGGGGCCCGCACAAGCGGUGGAUUAUGUGGAUUAAAUUCGAUGCAACGCGAAAAACCUUACCUGGCCUUGACAUGCCACUAACGAAGCAGAGAUGCAUUAGGUGCCCGUAAGGGAAAGUGGACACAGGUGCUGCAUGGCUGUCGUCAGCUCGUGUCGUGAGAUGUUGGGUUAAGUCCCGCAACGAGCGCAACCCUUGCCAUUAAUUGCCAUCAUUUAGUUGGGCACUUUAAUGGGACUGCCGGUGACAAACCGGAGGAAGGUGGGGAGUGACGUCAAGUCCUCAUGGCCCUUAUGGCCAGGGCUUCACACGUAAUACAAUAGUCGGUACAGAGAGUUGCCAACCCGCCGAGGGGAGGCUAAUCUCAGAAAGACCGAUCGUAGUCCGGAUUGUUCU
rnacentral:rRNA from 1 species